rnacentral:misc_RNA from 1 species
GGUUUAGAGGAUCUACUAAUUGAAAUGGAUCGGAUACUAAGGCCAGAAGGGCUUGUCAUCAUAAGGGACAAACCCUCAAUUAUAAACUAUAUCCGCAAAUUUGUGACUGCCUUAAGGUGGGAUCACUGGAUAUCAGAAGUUGAACCAAGGAGUGAUACUCUCUCCUCAGGUGAAGAACAAGUUUUGAUUGUGAGAAAAAAGUUUUGGAGUGGGGAAGUUUCAACAAUGUGAAUAUGGCUCCGAGGGAAAGUCAGGACUCGUGCUCCAUUGC